rnacentral:rRNA from 1 species
UACGUAGGGUGCAAGCGUUUAUCGGAAUUACUGGGCGUAAAGCGUGCGCAGGCGGUUUUGUAAGUCUGACGUGAAAUCCCCGGGCUCAACCUGGGAAUUGCAUUGGAGACUGCAAGGCUAGAAUCUGGCAGAGGGGGGUAGAAUUCCACGUGUAGCAGUGAAAUGCGUAGAGAUGUGGAGGAACACCGAUGGCGAAGGCAGCCCCCUGGGUCAAGAUUGACGCUCAUGCACGAAAGCGUGGGGAGCAAACAGG